rnacentral:rRNA from 1 species
CGCGAAUGGCUCAUUACAACAGCUAAAAUCUACUUGAUCUUGACACAAUCCUACUUGGAUAACUGUGGUAAUUCUAGAGCUAAUACAUGCAUUAAAGCUCUGACCUCACGGGACGAGUGCAUUUAUUAGAACAAAACCAAGCGGCUUCGGCUGUUUUCGGUUGACUCAUAGUAACUGAGCUGAUCGCAUGGUCUUGCACCGGCGACGUGUCUUUCGAGUAUCUGCCGUAUCAACUUUCGAUGGUAGUGUAUCUGACUACCAUGGUGACCACGCGUAACGGAGAAUAAGGGUUCGGCUCCGGAGAGUUCGCCUGAGAAAUCGCGAACACAUCUAAGGAAGGCGGCAGGCGCGAAAAUUACCCACUCUCAGCACGAGGAGGUAGUGACGAAAAAUAACGAGACCGUUCUCUUAUGAGGCCGGUCAUCGGAAUGGGUACAAUUUAAACCCUUUAACGAGUAUCUAUGAGAGGGCAAGUCUGGUGCCAGCAGCCGCGGUAAUUCCAGCU